rnacentral:rRNA from 1 species
GAUGAACGCUGGCGGUGUGCCUAACACAUGCAAGUCGAACGACCACACGAUGAGCUUUCUCCUUUGACGUUAGCGGCUGACGGGCGAGUAACACGUGGAUCACCUACUUAUAAUACUGGGAUAACUUCGUGAAACCGGAUCUACUACUACAUAAUACAUCCUACCGCAUGGUUCAAUAGUGCAAGACGCCUUUCCUGUUUCUUUUAGAUGGUUCCGGGUCGGAUUAGCUAGUUGGUAAGGUAACGGCUUACCAAGGCGACGAUGCGUAGCCGACCUGAGAGGAUGAUCGGCCACACUGGAACUGAGACACGGUCCAGACUCCUACGGGAGGCAGCAGUAGGGAAUCUUGCGCAAUGGGCGAAAGCCUGACGCAGCCAUACCGCGUGAGUGAUGAAGGUCUUCGGGUCGUAAAGCCCUGUUGUUGGGAAAGAAAAGAUGUAUGUGAAACUAUGGACGUCUUGACGGUACCCAAUCAGAAAGCAACGGCUAACUACGUG